UGACAUUAUAAUCCCCCUAACCGAGAUCAUGGGGUAAUAAUAUCUCUCAUAUCCACUAGUGAAGGGAUUAGUGGAAAUAUCCGUAUCG
rnacentral:ncRNA from 1 species